CCCUUAGAUGUUCUGGGCCGCACGCGCGCUACACUGACGAAUGCAACGAGCUUAUAACCUUGGCCGAAAGGUCUGGGUAAUCUCCAAAUUUCGUCGUGAUGGGGAUAGAUUAUUGCAAUUAUUAAUCUUCAACGAGGAAUGCCUAGUAAGCGCAAGUCAUCAACUUGCAUUGAUUACGUCCCUGCCCUUUGUACACACCGCCCGUCGCACCUACCGAUUGAAUGGUCCGGUGAAGCCUCCGGAUUGGCGCGCACCUCGGUGCCGCCGAGAAGUUGGCUAAACCUUACCAUUUAGAGGAAGGUGAAGUCGUAACA
rnacentral:rRNA from 1 species